rnacentral:rRNA from 1 species
GUGGGGAAUAUUGGACAAUGGGGGGAACCCCGAUCCAGCCAUGCCGCGUGUGUGAAGAAGGCCUUUUGGUUGUAAAGCACUUUAAGCGAGGAGGAGGCUACCGAGAUUAAUACUCUUGGAUAGUGGACGUUACUCGCAGAAUAAGCACCGGCUAACUCUGUGCCAGCAGCCGCGGUAAUACAGAGGGUGCAAGCGUUAAUCGGAUUUACUGGGCGUAAAGCGCGCGUAGGUGGCCAAUUAAGUCAAAUGUGAAAUCCCCGAGCUUAACUUGGGAAUUGCAUUCGAUACUGGUUGGCUAGAGUAUGGGAGAGGAUGGUAGAAUUCCAGGUGUAGCGGUGAAAUGCGUAGAGAUCUGGAGGAAUACCGAUGGCGAAGGCAGCCAUCUGGCCUAAUACUGACACUGAGGUGCGAAAGCAUGGGGAGCAAACAGGAUUAGAAACCCCAGUAGUCC